ensembl:snRNA U6 U6 spliceosomal RNA
GUGCUUGCUUCGGCAGCACAUAAACUAAAAUUGGAAUGAUACAGAGAAGAUUAGCAUGGACCCUGCACAAGGAUGACACUCAAAAUCAUGAAGCAUUCCAUAUUUAA